rnacentral:rRNA from 1 species
AUGCUGCAGUGGACGGGAGGCUCCAGGAGGCAGGUGUACGCCUCCAGGAAAUCGACACAGAGCAGGCAGAGGCAGUACUUCGAACAGAAGAAGCGGCAGCAGCAGACGGCAGGGCUGCAGAACCAGGAUGGCGUAGAUGGCGCAGGCGGCCAAGCUGUUGGUGAUCAGGCGCCUCGAUCGCUUGACAUCCUAAGCCUGAACAAUUUGGCAGCUCCAGUCAAUCACCGCAAUGGCCCUGAAAAUGCAGGUAGUGUUCUUCCAAAUUUGGACAACGCAAAUUUUAGUGCUUCCCCUCUAGAGGCGCUGAAGAAGAUCACUUCUUCAUAUAAUAUUGAUCCGAAGGAAACAAGUAGAUUGUCAUCACCCGUUGGUCAUCAAGAUGUUGCAGCUGCUGUUAACCCUCAUGAAGAUCCUCUUGCUCAUCCAUCCAAUAACUAUGGUGCCAAGAAGCGAAAUCAAAAUGUGGAUCUCAACAGUGGUGAAAUUUCACUAAUUGAUUUGGUCAGAUACGAGGGAUCAAAAGAUAAAUCUACCGCUCAACCUGCCCGUGAAUCUCAUGUUUCAUUUUCUGUUAAAGGCCUUGGCCAUGUCAAGAUGGAAACUCCUCUCCAGUCACCAAGAUUCACCAAAAGGACUUUACCUUUGCCACCAAAGGCCUCGCGGUACACGCAAAAUAAAUCAAGAAGGUCCAUCCCUUUUGAUACCACAAAAGGAUUGGAUUCUCUAAUGUAUGGUAUUAGCAUGAUGAGAGAGCGAAGCACUUCAAACAAAAUGGGUAGUCUUGUGGAUGAGUCAAGCUAUGUAAGGAGGGUAAACUGUUAUAACUCCAAUGAUAAUCUUUAUCGUGGGGAUGAGGACAUGUUCUGUAAUCCUCAAGCUCCAAAAGGUUGGCAAUCAAAUUGUAGUAGAAGAUAUGACAGUCUACCUGAUGUAAAUUCUGAUAAACUGUGGAACAUAGAAUCAUUCAAUUCAGACGAUCAUUUUCCUACUCCAAGAGCGGAACAUUUUGAUACAGUCGACUAUGGUUUUAAAGAAAGAUACUCUCCAGAGCGAAGAAAUUCAACAAGAACUAGCAUACGAUUUGAGACUUCAGGGCAUGACCUCUUUUCUGAUCAGUCAUUACUGGAUGAUGACAAUGAUAUGUUACAGUUUGACUGGGAAAGGCAACCAUCGUCUAAGAAAAUACACAGCACAAACAUCACUUUCGGCCCUUCUGCUUGGUCUUCUGACAUGGUAGAUGAUGAUUCAGAGAAAAGGAAGAGCCCAUUGAGUGAAGAAUCAAGCUCAUGUGCUGCAGCAGUGAAGGACAUAUCGAGCAACAAACCAACACUGUCUGUAAAAUGCACAGAGAAAAAUAUGAACGAGAAGGAUGACUUCCAUACAAGCUUGGAUAAGUUUGAUAUUCCAAAUAUCGAUGCACAUCUAGAUGAAAUGUCAGUAUUCAGGGAUGAAGAAGAAUACCACAAAAGAGCGAUAGACCGGAAGAAUCUUGAAGCAGAUUAUUGGCCUGACAAGGCAAUGGACCAACAGAGAACCCAAGAACCAAGCUGCCGUUUAUCACUUCAGGAGAAAUUUGCUGACUGGGGUUCUUGUAUCUCCCAUCUGAAGGGUAGCACUCGACGAAACAACCCACCGAGUUGCACUGUAAUGCGCGAGGAUACACCUUUUGAUUCUAUUCCAGAUAUGGAUGGAUUUCAAACUGUGGGAUCAACUGAAUGGAGACCUACAUCAAAAGUUCGUCCUGUUUUCCACAGACCUGGCAGUGCGUAUGACGAGAUUCAUUGGCAGAAUCCUGUUUCAGAUAUAUUUGGCAAUAAAACGGAGUUUUCAGACCCAUUCCGUGCCACGGACCUUCCGAGCAACAUUGAUAUGUGUACUUUCUUGGGACAGAAGGCAGACAAGAAGAAAGAAGAUAAUUUUGACUCACUCAAGAAAUCAAAUGCAGACAUAUUUCAUUCUGUGAGUUCUGUAAACGAAACUGUGGUUGGUCAACACACUACAUGUUCUCAGCAGUCUGGCAAGGAUUCACGAAGGCAAGGGUUUGAUCCUGGUAUUGAUUUUCAGGAGUCCAGACUACAUUCAUUCUGGGAAGAUGGCCAUGUUAGUGAUGACACUUUUCAGGGCGAUACUGAGCUGAGUAGUCUAUUGGCAAGAAAAAAUGAUGAGAAGAAUAAAUGCGGGUCUGAGAGGCUCGAGAAGCCAGAAACAAAGACGUCGACACAAAGAUCUAAAUCUUCUGGAGAUUUCAGAAAUGAGAUGAGUGAAGCUGAAACAUGUUCUGAUGGCUCGGAAGUGACCAACUAUCCUGGGGUGCAGAAUGGAACAUCAGCAGCAGCAACGCAACUCCCUGCAAACUUGUGUCUUGAGGAAGCCUCAAGAGGAAUGUUCCAAAUUCAUGCUCAAGUUGAUUGUGUAAAAACAAUAGAAAAUCCCGGUGUUGAAUUUGAAGCUCCAUUGCAUGUUAGAAACAUUAUUCAUGAUGUUGGAGAUCAUACCAAGGCCAAUCCAAUGUUCCAGUCUCCUUUCAUGGCAGAGAAGGUGGGGAUUGAGAAGAAGGUAAUAUCAGGCGUGUCACCGAGCAACAGUGAUGUUCAGUUUGAGGUUAUGCUUGAACAUCGUGUUCUCCGACGGUUUUGUGUUCAGAAGAUAGUGGUAGAAACACCAAUGAAGGACAAGCUAGAUAAGGUUACGCACUUCAGGACGAUGGAGGAUGGAACUGUCCUGCGAAGGAGUGUCUAA